UAGGGAAUCUUCCACAAUGGACGCAAGUCUGAUGGAGCAACGCCGCGUGAGUGAAGAAGGUCUUCGGAUCGUAAAACUCUGUUGUUAGAGAAGAACACGAGUGAGAGUAACUGUUCAUUCGAUGACGGUAUCUAACCAGCAAGUCACGGCUAACUACGUACCAG
rnacentral:rRNA from 1 species